AUGGGGAAACAAAGAGAUGGCGAUGGAGAGACCAAAGACAAGAAAAAGAGAGCAUCAUGGACCACUGCUCAACUAGACCUGCUCGUUUCUGUGAUGAAAGAGUAUGCAGAUGCAGCUAGAUUUCGUGGUCAGAAUGGAUGGACGAAAGAAGGAUGGAAUUCCAUGACUACACGAUUGAAUAAUCAGUUUCCAAGAGCUAAUUUCAUUGUUUGUCAACUAAAAUUUAGAGAGCAGCGGUUGAAGAGAGAAUAUUUUGUUGUCAAAUCUAUUGUAGAGAAGAGUGGCUUCGGUUUUGAUCCUAAUACAAAAAUGCCAACAACCAUUGAUGAAAAAUGGGAUGAAUUGAGCAAAGAACAACAAAAGUGGAAGCUUUCCCUUACUAUGAUGACUUGCAUGCAAUUUAUGAUGGUAAAACAGCCGAGGGGAAGGGCUAUAAGAGGACAACUGAUGUGGUUGAAGAGAAGUCCAGUCCGGCUACAGAUUUACCACAAGGGGAAAGCUUCACACAACAAGUUCUAG
rnacentral:rRNA from 1 species